CCACUCCACCUGAUGCCCCCACAGCCCUCACAGGGUCUGUCCUCCCAGCAUGCACCUGCCUCUCCCUGCACCCCAGAUGUCCACCCUGCCUGUUCCCUGACUUCCUCCAUCCUGUCCAGCAGGAUGGGCUGGGAAGUGGGAAAGCCUGUGUGCACAUUUCGUGGCAAGUAGGAGUGACACACCAUCCCUGGGAGGCACCUGCCAAACCCAACCCCAGAAGUCUCCCUGAGGUGGUUUUACCAAACCCAUAACCCACAACUGUGAUUGUGGUUUGGGGGUCAGCACCCGCUAGUGCCAGGGCACUACUGGGAAGCUGGGACCUGACCAAUGCCCAUGGUGUCUGUGGCCUGAGGACAGGGUGUCUUGGGGCCAUGAGGACAGGCCACCAAUGGCCAUUGGGUCAUAGGGCCUGAGCCCCAGUGUUUUUCCUUCCCUGGCUGCUUCUGGUUCAGUCCCAUUCAGGGCCCUAGAGCCCAAGAUGCAGCAUCCAAGGUUCCCUCCAGAAAUCCUGGUGGCUCGACUUAUUUUGUCAUGUUUCAUCUGAUAACAAAAAUAUCAUAUCAGCUGCACAGAAAAAUGGCUCAAAGUGCUUAAUGACUAGAAGAAAUCGAGGAGCAGCAAGAAGGUAAUGUGGAGAGGGGAGGACCUCCAUGACCGGUGUCUGCAGAGCCAGGGGUACAGGCACCCAGUGCAGUGACCUGGCACCACCUGCCUCUCAGAGGGUGGGUAGCACACUGUCCUUACCUGGGGGACAGCAGGCCUGGCCACCGGCUUUUCUCCCUGUCCCUGCAAGCAUCACAUUGCUGGAAGAGAAUUUCAUGCCAGAGCUUGGACCGUCCCUAGCUUGGGAGGUACGGGUUGUCUCUUGGUGACCUAAAUGAAAAAAUAGGUCCAGAACAGAGUUCCUGAUGCUGGGCACUCAUCCACUCUUUGAAUCAUGGGAGGGGAGGCCUAGUCCUAGGUAAACCUAACCUCUUUGAGGAACCACAGUGCCCAAGGCUGGAAACCUCCAGAAUCCUCCGGCCCCCGAUCCUCCCCAGGGACCCCUGUGGCCUGUCUCACCAGAGCAUUCUUCCAUCUGUAGAUGUUUCAGCUGCUGUACAAGGGAGUCCCAUUUCAGGUGUGGGGCUGGGCAUGGUCACUCCUGCUGGAUGUCUGGAAGGUGAAAACCAAGGACCUAGGGAAAUACCAGGUACAGCCUUUCCACCCUCAUCCAGAGCAGGACAAACAGGCCAGGUGGUAUCAGGAGCCCAGGUCUCCAGCUGGAGGGAAUGUCAACCCUGCAGUGGGAGCCCAUCACGCAUCCUAGGCACAGAUGCUAAUGUAGGCACCGCGGAAGCACUGCUGACUGUUUGGUGGUUGCUGUUGGGGCAGUGAGCCUUUUGUCCAUUCUGAGAUUGGGCUGGUUUCUCCUCUUGGCCCUGCCCUACAGACCAUAAAGGAAAACAGCAAGAGGUCCGCAGCAAACAUCUACAGAUGGCCCUGGACAUCAGCCACAUUCUGAGAAACAUGUCAUGUUCUGGGAGGGCUAAGGCAUCAAGCUCACCCUGCAGGAAUCCCAGUGAAUAUAUUGCCACCAUCUUGGAGCUCAGUGCCCUCUUAGUGUAAUGGCACCAGCAGAUCUGCCUGUGCACGGACUUCCUGUACUACCUCACUCCUGAGGGGAGAUGCUUCUGCAGGGCCUAUGACCUGGUGCACAACUUUAGACACCAUCAUCCUGGAGCAGCACCUCACCCUCACUUGCCGGGGUGUUGAUGACUUCCUCAAGGCUAAGGCCACAUUCAAGAUUUUGGACUUCAGUGAUGCAUUUUUGCUGAGCAAGGUGGGCUUCUCCGGGAUUUUAGUUCAGGAGGUAGAAUGCAGCUUGAGAUCAAGUGUCUGAUCAAAUAACUUGAACUUGAUCUGGAGAGCUCUGGGGAGCCAUAGAAGUUGUUGGAUAAAGGAGGGACAGUCGUAUAUGUUUUAGAGAUGACUGUGGAAGGCUGCCUGGAAGGAGUGAACAAGAGCCAGGAGACCAGGGAGGGAGCUUGUGGGGCAGGUCUGGAGAUGACAAGGGAGGGAUCCUGCUUUGAUGAAAGGUCUUCAGGGAAUGUCUCAGGUUACACUCAGGUGUCCUCAGAGCUAGUGUGUUCAGGGGUCUUGCCUCCAGGAUGAAAAUGAGAAGGAGUUGUCAGACAAGAACAUAUAAAUGAAGGCUGGCAUCUUCGUGAGUGCCAAUCGUUGUCCUGGUGUGGACUACUGUGGGAAUAGGGGUCUCUCCAUCCAGGGACAUGGUGGAUGGACCCUACAUCACUCCAUUCUGCCCUUCCUUUCCCUCCCAUUCUGAGGGCCUCAGUGCAAGGGCGCUGUCCAACCUCUGGUGCUGAAGCAGCCGAGAGACCCAAGCCUGCCACUCAGGAUAUGACAGCACAGCCAGUGGCCUCUACUGGAUCCUGUACAACCUCAGAAGACACCUAGACACUGGGAGUGCUGCCACCACGUGGUGCAAGAGUUCUGAGGGACCGCAAUUCUGAAGACAUUGAAUGCUGCUUCCUGCUCCCUCCAUGGACCUGCACAGAAUUGUCCCAUGUUUCUGUUUGUUUGGGCACCACUGAGGAAGGAAGCAUGAAGGACGCAGAGGUCAGGCCAUUCUAUUGCCCUCCUGCUGCUGGGUCUUUAAUCCUGAGAUGGCUUCAGGGGCUGGUCCUUCUCCAUGGCCCCCUCCACAUAUCUCAGCCAUUUUGCAAACCCUGGUCAGAAUGAAACAUUCCUUGGGAACUCGGGCCAUGAGAAGCAUCCUUCCUGACCACCUGACUGCGGAAACAUCCUUAUCGCAUCCUCCCGGGCGAAGGCCCAACAGCCUGACUGCAGGAACAUCCUUGCCAUAUCCUGCCGGGCAGCAAGCUCUACCGCCCAGACCCCUCCUUCCCAGUCCCAUGAUCGCCCCAGCCUGUGAGCGGCAGUUGGUGAUGGCACUAAGCUGAUUUCCUCCUCUGCAGGGUUUUGCUAGUAAUAAAGGUGUUGCUGUUGAAGCCACCAACCAUGUCUCUC
rnacentral:lncRNA from 10 species